GACGAACGCUGGCGGCGUGCUUAACACAUGCAAGUCGAACGGAUCGGCAGGAGCUUGCUUCUGUCGGUUAGUGGCGAACGGGUGAGUAACACGUGAGCAAUCUGCCCUUGACUCUGGGAUAACUGCGGGAAACUGUAGCUAAUACCGGAUAUGACGCGCGAAGGCAUCUUCUGCGCGUGGAAAGAAUUUCGGUCAGGGAU
rnacentral:rRNA from 1 species